rnacentral:rRNA from 1 species
UACGUAGGGCGCAAGCGUUGUCCGGAAUUAUUGGGCGUAAAGAGCUCGUAGGCGGUCUGUCGCGUCUGCCGUGAAAACCCGAGGCUUAACCUCGGGCUGGCGGUGGAUACGGGCAGACUAGAGGUAGGUAGGGGAGAAUGGAAUUCCCGGUGUAGCGGUGAAAUGCGCAGAUAUCGGGAGGAACACCCGUGGCGAAGGCAGCUCUCUGGUCGACAUUUGACGCUGAGACGCGAAAGCGUGGGGAGCGAACGGG